CGUUGCUUUCCUUCCAUCCCGUCCAAAAGUGAUUGUUGAUGUGAAGAGCUGGAACGACGACAAAAACAAUGAUUAUUUUUUUUGCGACUGUAUGUACAGCAACCAUUUCGGAUGUGUUGCAGAACAUAGCAAAACUAAAACGAGAAAAACUUACCUGCUGAUAUUUCGAGAUGUAUUUCCACUGGUUCCGGAUAUUUCCUUUCCGCAGUUUGAGCUAGAACAGAUUAGAGUUAUAAAAACGUAAGAAUUAGGCUGAAGUCUGCAUAAUUAGCGCUAGAAAGGAAUUAUGUUGCGAAGAUUAGGACUUACCUUGAUAAUCCACCAGCUAUAGGAAGUUUAUUUACCUUCAAAUUUCGACCGGUCGAACAAGUCAUUCACUUGUUUAUUUUGAAUUAUACUUCUUCUUAAAUGUAUUCCUGUUCAUGAAUAUUUUGAACAUACAUUUGACGUCUCUUAUGUGAGUUACUGUCAAGAAUCGCUACAAUAACCAAAACACUGAAAUAAAAUCACAAGCUGUUUCUGUCACGAGUGGACAUGAAAUUACGCGGAUUGUGAUAGUAAAAAUUUCAAAUUAAGUUGGAUUAUUUAUUUUGAUCAAACAAAAUAAAGUAUAGAGACAAGACACAGGUUCAUUCAUCUCUCUUGGAACAAAAUGAAUGUGUUACCAUUCAUUUUGAAAAGGGACGAUGGGGUAAUGUAACCAUCUGUUACUUAAUGUCUAUGUGACUCCGUCACAAAAUUCAAACAUCCCUGUACAAUUCAGAAAACCCUACAACAGUCGCCCUCUAUCAGCACAACUGACAUCCCUGUCCAGGAGUUCACCACUCAUUCACGGCACUCUCAGAGAUUCUCCAGAGGCGCCGUGUAUUUUAAAGAGCAAAGCGGGGAAGUGUGGCCACCCAGAAAAGCAACACACUCUUAAAAUGUUUUGUAGAUAAUAGUUGUUUGUUAGUGUGUUGGUUGGACAAGAUAGUGUACUUAGCGCUUUGUUAGCGAUCCGUUUCCUGUCCUGUCCUUUCUGUUCGUGACCGCCUGAGGGAAAAGAAGUGCGCGACGUGUUAGUUUGUCGAAGAAACAAAAAGUGCGACAAGUACACACGGUGAACAUAAAGUUAAAAUUGUGUAAAAGCCUAAAAACAAGCGUAACAAACAUAAACAUUGUUAAAACACACGGAAACAAACGAGCAAUCGAAAAACAAAGAAAAAGGUCCAAGAGGGCCUUUUUCUUUCUGGUUUGUGCUGGUUCUGUCGAGCCACAAUUCCUUCAUCCCCAGGCAAUCACCAGAUCCGGACAGAAAGGUCCCUGCGUGCCUCGACUCCAUCGAUACAACACCUCGAGUCGGCACCUAACCUUACAUCCAUGGGUCAGCAUCGACACAAACAUCUCGCUGUCCCUAACGCAUGCAAAGUAGUACCGAGCACGAGUGGAAUCGUUCCGAAAACAGCGAUUCACAGUCGUGUCAACGGAUGCGGCUAUUCACAACCAUCGGAAUCCGCCAUUGGUCGUGGCGGAAAGCUAGAUCGACCGAAGCAUCGUAGCAACACAAUAAUACCGCAAGUACCCCAUGUUGUAGCACGUCAUAAAGUUAGGGCUAUCCAUUAGGAAUAAAAACAUCCAUAUUUGUGAACCGUAGACCUCCGUAAGUGAUUUAUUCUUUCGGGUUUUCCCACGAAUCUAAGAUCAGAAAUUGUCUUCAGUCCUCGCCCUGGGGUGGUCCUAACAGUUUGACAGGUUUUAUAGUUCCUCUUUAAUUGAUGUCGUCUAACUCUGGUUGGUAGCAUGAGAGGUACCCACCCGUUUCGGCACCCUGGAUAUGCACGUUCGCUGAAUCUGGAAGUUCCUGUUGUGAGAUACCGCAGAGGAAAGUGAACAGUGGUGAACUUAACAUAACGACCCUGAGUCCCAUAAUUUCUCCU